CACACGAGCGUCGCUAGUCGAACGUUUAUCCAGCCAACUUCGUUCUAAACCGUGGUGUUCGAAAAGUAAUUUUGUUUUCUUACACGAGUGUCACUCAUCGAACGUUCAUCCAGUCAACUUCGUUCUAAACCGUGGUGUUCGAAAAGUAAUUUUGUUUUCUUACACGAGUGUCACUCAUCGAACGUUUAUCCAGCCAACUUCGUUGUAAACUGUAUUGGUAUCGUAUAUUUUGUGAAUUGGUAUUUCAUGGUUUAUUUAUAAGAAAAAGUCAUUCGAUUCUGUGUUUCUUGUGUUUUUCGUGCAUGAUAACAAAGAUGCGAACAUUUUUUACUGUUUUGUUAUCGAAAAGAAUGUUGUUUAAACAGAAAAAAAAUUAUGAAGUUUAUGAAGAAGGCGUAUUAUGCGCCUUGUUAAAGAUAUAUUUUGAAACUCGAAACCGACGAAGACAAAAUAAAGAGACACCGAUCGAAACAAACCGACGAACUCGAGAGAUUGCUAUGAGAUUGAAUUUGUCUAAUUCGGGUGUUCAUGAUCGCGUGAAACGACUUGGUGUUUCUUCUUCGUGAAAAAAUAAAAUUACUUUCUGAACGAUAAGCAAGUUCGGUUACAUUUACUGAAAAUGAUUGGAUUCGAAGAAGUGAUUGGAUACCGAUGUUUGCUCUCAAGGGAUUAAGAGAGUUUCACCUCUUCCCCUUCAAAUACAGUAGAAUGUGUUCUGGCCUGUGCUCACGCCUCCGUCUUCGGGACAAUCGAAAGAAAAGGAAGAGGCAAGGAGGAAAUAAGAGGGGAAACAGGUUUCAGCGAGAGUGCACCCGGCACGUGUUACGUUACAUGGAACCGUGCGAUUGUUUCCCCAAUUCCGGUUCAACUCGUGCUCGAAUCCAUGGACAAACAUCUCUUGACGAGCGGAAAGGCGUUUCUAUCGGAAAGGAUCCCUCUCUCUUAUUUACAACGCAAAGAGAAUCUCGAUUUAAACGAAAAUACAACAACAAUGGCUAUUCACUUCACAAGCAAGCGAUCACAAAGACGUUGACCAGUGAUGGGGAAAAUUUAAUAGUCCAAGUUACUUCGAUAAUUUAUUAUUCAAAACAUAAUAAUAUUCGCGAAUAAUUGUUAAAUGAAUAAAUAAUUAUUCGAGUAUUUUAUUCUAAAUUUUUAAGCUAUUACUUUUUCAAGUAAUCCAACUUUAAUCUUGACGCGAUUUUCCAGAACUGGACAUUAAUUCCUAAGUUGAAAAAAAUAAAAAAUUUCGAAUGAAAUUACUUCAAGUGCUAUAAUUGUUAUUAUAUUUUAAACGAUAUGAAAAUAAUGAUUGGAGGAAAAAUCAAAGGCCAGGACAGUUUUCUAGACCAGAUUAGAAAUAAAAUGGAAUUCAGCAACGACGUACAGUUUACAGGCUACAGAGUCUUCAAUCAAAGUCAAUUAAAGAGAGAAAGAGAGAAGAAAAUCUGCUCCUGUGGCGAAAAUUCACGGCUGAUAAGGGGGUCGAGAUUCGAGGAAUGAAUGAAAUUUGAAAAAAGAGAAGGAAAAACUUUAUUAUCCGAAAAGAAUAAUCGAGGAUAGACGGGACGCGACUUGGAAAAUUACACCCUACUUCCAUUAUCAAGAAUUAUCAAGAAAUUUCUCUCCAUCCAAUUUCAAGAGAACAAUCAUUUAUUUGAUACUACACGAUUAUUAUCAUAUUCCUGCUCAUUUGACGAAUGUCGAAGACGACAGAGUGAAGGACUACUUAUCAAGAAUUAUCAAGAAAUUUCUCUCCAUCCAAUUUCAAGAAAACAAUCAUUUAUUUGAUACUACACGAUUAUUAUCAUAUUUCUGCUCAUUUGACGAAUGUCGAAGACGACAGAGUGAAGGAAAAUGCAAGCGAAUUCAGUUGAUGGAAAGAAAUAAUUUUUCGAACGAAACGUUAAAUUCGUUAAACAUUAGAAUCAAAAUAAUUCUAACGUUUUAUUUCUUAUCAAUAUAAGCUACUUUUAUUAUCAAGAAUUAUCCAAAGGAAUAUCCACACCGAAAUUUCUCUCCAAUUCCAGAGAACAAUCAUUUAUUUGAUACUUGAUUAUUAUCAUAUUCCUGCUCAUUUGACGAAUGUCGAAGACGAUAGAGUGAAGGAAAAUACAUUAUUAAUUUAAUUUUAAUAAUCGAUCAUCCUCAGAACGUGAUUAAUUUGAUAAAUGAAAAUAAUCUUUAAAUAUUUUGUUUCAGCUACUUAUCAAGAAUUAUCAAGAAAUUUCUCUCCAUCCAAUUUCAAGAAAACAAUCAUUUAUUUGAUACUACACGAUUAUUAUCAUAUUCCUGCUCAUUUGACGAAUGUCGAAGACGACAGAGUGAAGAAAAAUGCAAGCGGUAUAUUGCAAAACCUUGCUUGUAAUUCGUACGUGUAAAAGUGAUUAUACCGGAUAAUAGAGACGACAAUUGAGGAAACGUUCCACGUUCCACGUUCCUUUGCAUAAGUAGCGUAACGCGAUUAUCGCGGGGCAAUCGUUUCUGGACCGCGAUACCGUUAUUUAUACCGGUAAAAAAACCUCGACCCACCUCGUGGAUAUUAGCUCGAGGGUAAAAACACACGCCACCAGAAUCCUGUUGUUUUUAAACGAGUUCACGCUUGGAAAUACCUACUUAACCGUAUUCGCAUAAUCUCGGGUAAGAACGGAUUGAACCUGAGUCGGUUUCGUUGUAAAAAUGUAAUGAAGCCACUGGGUAAUAAAAUUUAAAUAGGGAGAGAGAGAGAGAGAGAGAGAGAGAGAUCGGAGAUUACCGUACUCUGCUACUUUAACUUCCGAUAAGAAGGAGAAAAGGUUCUAGGAAGCAAUCGCUCACCUGUACCCCGGCAAUCGUACACCUGUAAAUGAACACCCACUAUCGCUAAACCAAUCGUUGUUUGGCCAAUUUUACGAGACCCUUUCUACUCCACCUCUGGAGAUAUCGAUUACCGAUCGUAUCUCCACAGGUUUUCUUCUAAUUCUAAAAAAAAAAAAAAAAAAGAAAAAGAAAAAGAAAGAAAUAAAAAACGAAGAACCGGACACUUUUCCGCAAGCCUCACCGACCUUUACUCGAGGGAAAUCGUAGUGGAUACGGAGAAUUGGAGAAUCAACUUUUAGAAAGGAUAGCGAAGCGGUAAGUUUCGGAUUUCUCCUCGAAAUUCUCCUCGAGACGAGAAGCGAGUUCGAUUGUUUUACUUUACCGCGUAAUUGCCACGCCUCGCCGCCGUGUAAUCUUUUAACCGAAGCCAAUUAACGAUGAACAAACGAUUAUCGAACCUAUUAUCUCAAAUUUAUAUAUCGGAUAGUGUGGUAAUUAGUUCCGGGAAUUAUUUAACGGGUAACGCUUUUUUUUUUACUUCUGUGUCGAAAAUUAUAUCGUGGAAAGAGAGAGAGAGAAAGAGAGAGAGAAACGGCGAAAGGAGAUGGACGACUGGUAAUGAAAACCAAGAGGAAACCAGCCCUUACCGUUUGAACACCAAUUUGCAUAUUCUAUUGACCUUCUCGUGGUUCGCUAGUUCUGUUAUUGGCGUAACUUUGCCUUUCAAACCGCUCCUAAUAUCAUAGCUAUUCUGCCCAACUUCCACUCUUGAACGUUAUCCCGAUAGGCGGGCGCGAGUGUCCCUCCACGAGUUAACGUACGCUUACAUACACGCGUCUCACCCUCCGCGCACCUCUUUAUUACGUUCAACCUCGAUUAUCGGAAUACCGUUUAACCGAACGCUCGAUUAUCCAAACAUCGACGUUCAACAUCGACGAAAGUUGGCGAAAGAUGGCCUACCUAUCGUACGAAUUAUAUUAACGCCAACGAUCGCGUGAUAAUUUUUUUUUUUCUUACGUCACUCACGGUGACGCGGUUCGUCGAUAAUUCCCUUAUUUUGAAUUUUCAGCUGGUAACUCGAUCACCAUUAAAUUUUAACUGUUGCGGAAUUUCCACUUCCCUCUUUCCCCUGUAUAUACCAGUUUAAGAUAUUGUUACAAUCAAGCCGGAUUCAAGCUGAUCCUCCCUAUAACGCAAGAAAUUUCAGCUUAGAUUGAAUCGAGUAUAAAUGAAUACACGGUGCGAUUACACGAACGCGGUGUAAUCAGGGGACAGUUUGGGAAAGUUUGGAUUAGUCAUCCUUGUUCUCACGAUUAUUACAAGUAUACGCUUCUCUCUUGUCCUUGGCUCGGCGAAGAAAUAUCAAAUUGUCUCGUGUUUUUCAUCAAAGUGUAGAAGAAGCGUCUACGUUUGUCAUUUGGAAAAAUUAAUGUAUAGAUUAAAAGAAAUUAUAUAAUUGCGUAUAGGUUAAAUCAUUUUCCUGUUACGAAACUGUUUGACCUACUAACGUAAUAUUUGCUAACUGUAUAACCGAUAGGGCGGUGUUACGCAAUACGUAUAUCAACUUUGGAAAAGAAGCACGGCAAAAGUUGAGGCCGCUAGCGUGCAAUGAAUAAAUAAUAGUACGCCGAAGAAAUUAUGAUUCUGAUAAGCAUCAAAGAUAAAAUAAAAUGGAACAUUAAUAACUAUUCCAUUAUUCUCCUGAGAAUAUUAAUCCUGUUAUAAAUAAAGUGCAUUAUUAUAA